AUUUAACUGUUGGACUGAGAUUGAAUUCGGGGUUUUGGUUAGAGCCGACACUACACAUGGUAAGCCAAAGUAUACGUUUACAAACCAAAUCCGGUCAACGGCUUCAAAUUUCGAUCAUUUUAGGCCACUGUUAAGGACUUUAGUACGUACCACAUCUACAGCGGAAGUUGGCAAUAGGCCUAUAUUGGGGAUGGACUUCAGCGGAACAUGAGGUGUCUCAAGUGACGUCUAUGUGGUUGGAAUACUGUUCUGAAAUGUACACGAAUAUUGUGUUAUCACCCCCCAGUGAGGGUAUA
rnacentral:misc_RNA from 1 species